UAAGCCUUUCAUUUCUUUUAAAUCAAAGAACCCACUCUUCCUUUUUCAUAUUAUAAAUCAAUGCUCACUCACUUCACCAUUUUUUCACAGACCUUCAGACUAAUUAAUUAAGGGUGUGUGAGCAAGAUGGAGAAGCAGGGCACGUGCAUUACUAACUCAUGCAUCAAAUAUUUUUUAUGUUCUUGUUAAUUAUUUUAUAAUUAAUCUCCGGUGAGUUAGUUCUUCAUGUGCCCGUCUUCCCCAUCAUGACCACCGCACCUCUCCGCUCAUUUCCGGCUAAUCGUCCGUUAUCUAAGUGGUUAUUACAGUUCAAGCUCCAUUUUCAGCCUAUUUUUUGACAGAUCUAUUAGAGACCCGUGGGGCACGAGCACGAAGGAGAGCACCGCAUUAAGAUCAUAUUGGCAUACUCUCCCAAAAAAAGAGCAGACCCCAUUGAAGACGAGAGUGAGGUACAACAAGGGUGUACAGGCCCAUCCACCGCCCUUCUCACGGAAAUCUAAUGCAUUCUUUUCGUUCAGAUACACAGUACCGUUUGACUAUGCAUUCACAGUAGAUAAGACUAGAGCUGGAAUAUAUAUAUAUAUAUAUAUAUAUAUAUAUAUAUAUAUAUAUAUAUAUAUAUAUAUAUAUAUAUAUAGUGGCGGAACGAGAACUGAAACUUAGAAGAGUCGACAUUUUUUGCUUUCGGUUAUUUAGAAAAAUAGAAUGGCGGUAAACAUUGUUUAAAAUGAUAACUUACCGCCCCUAUAAGGGAAAAACCGCCCCUAAAAAUUAUAGGGGCGGUUCAUAGGGACGGUUAUAACCGCCCCCUACAGAAAAAAACACCAUUUAUAUUUAUUUAUUUUUUAAUUUUUUUAAUUAUAGGGGCGGUUCCCCUGGUUCCGUUCAUGUAUAUAUAUAUAUAUAUAUAUAUGGAGUUAAAAUAACAAACCAAUCACCAAAUUUUAAAAUAAUUUAUUGCUUUAUUAGUAGUCUAGUGAUUGGAAAAAAAGAUAAAAAUACUUUUUGAUAUAUUUUUAAAAUUUUGAAACAGGAAUACGAAAGAAAUAUAAAUCUUAAUGCUAAAAUAGAAGAUUUGGAAAGUUCAGACGUACUAAUGUAAUUUAUCCUUAUAUAAUAAUGUCACAACUUUGUCUCAAGGAAAAGGAAAGGAAGGGAGUUUAUGCAAAGUUUAUAAAAAAAAAGGGUUAAUUUCAUAAAAAGUCACGACCUUUAUAUAAAUUUUCAUUUUAAUCACGACUUUUAAAAAUUACCAUAUAAAACCACGACCAUUCAUUUUUUUUCAAAUCUAUCACCAAAUCAAUUUUCGGUGUAUUUUUGAUGACGUGACCACCAUAAUCCGGCAAAUUUGAAAAAAAAUGAAAGGUAAAAUUCACCGGGAAAAUAGUCGGUGAUAGAUUUGAAAAAAAAAUGAAAGGUCAUAGUUUUAUAUGGCAAUUUUUAAAAGUCGUGAUUAAAAUGAAAAUUCGUAUAAAGGUCGUGACUUUUUAUAAAAUUAACCCUAAAAAAAAGCGGAUAAGAAUCAAGAAAUUAAGCACGUGUUCCGCCGAAUGUUGUCCCAGUUAAAGAAAGCGGAUAAGAAUUAAGAAAUUAAACAUUUCAGUCAUUCUGUUCAUUUUUUGUGCUAGUCAAUCGCGUUAAAAAAAAUUAAAUUAAAAAAUAAUAAUUUAAAAAUAAUGUGAUCUCUCAUUUUUAUUUUUGUCUACGAUUUCGUCCCUUAAAUUUAAAAUUUAUUUACUCCUAUAUCUUUUAAUUUGAUUGACUAACAUUAAAAAUAGAUAGAGGGGCAAAAUUAUUGGCAGAAUCAAAAGUAAGGGAUCAAAUCAUUUGAUUUGCAAAUAAAAGAGAUCAAAGAGUGAAUUAUGAUAAAUAUGACAAAUUUUAAAGUAAAUGCUCAUUAAACUAUUCAUCUGGGUAGAGUUGUACAUAAAAAAUUCAAAACAACCAAAUCAAACAAUUCAACCAAACCAAACCAAAUAUUACGAUCAAUAAAUAUUAUAUUUCUAUAAUAUUAAGAUAUUAAAUUUAUAAAAUAUAAAAAUUUAAAAUUUAAAAUAUUUAUAAUUUUUUUAAUAGUCAUUAUUAUAGUUUGUUAUAUAAAGAUAAAUAAAUAUUUUUUGAUGUUUAGAUUUUUUUUUAUCUUAGAUAAUAAAUUAAUAAUUUUUUGAUGAUGGUUUAAACUGGUUUCAAAGAAAAAAUUAUCAAAUUAAACCAAACCAAUUUCGCUAGUUUAUAAUGUGGGUGGUUUGAUUUUGGUUUGGAAAUUUGCUAAACCAGUAUAAUUAGGUUGGACUAAAAUAUCAAUGAUAAACUAGUCAAACCAAACCAUGUACACCCCUACAUUGGGUAUUAAAAAAGGGAAAACUGUUAAAAAAAUUGCAACUUUUUAUAUAACUAGUGUCGCUUUACGUCUUUCACACGUGGCUCGUAGUGUAACUCGUCGAAUAAUGAUAACUAUAUGUUGGCUAAAGGCCUUUAGCCAUAAUUCUUAAUUUUGAUGAUAACUAAAGCCCACUAAUUUUAUUUCCCCAAGUGUCAUAUUCUAGAAGCAUCUUGAAUGGUUUCUUAUUACUCAAGAAAAACGAUUGGAGGGCAUUUCGGUUAUUAAGCUAAAAGAGCCAGCUCAGCUUAUACACCAAGGCUGGAUCCGUACUACUGUAAGGCUGAGCCACUAACAAACAAAGAGCAGCAGUGUACUAUUGUCACACAAGCCAACGGAAUAUUCAAGUUGAUUGGACCAGCUCAGCUCAAGGAGGCUCCUCCAUUUGUCAUCUUAUACACCUUGCAAUUUGGAUAAGGAUGACUCAUCCCUUCUAGAAGAUUUUUGAAGACUAUAUAAAAAGACUCCUCUUUCAUUUUCAAGUGUGUGGAAUCUCAGAAAGAAAUCAUCUCAACCACCAUCUUUGUGCUUAAUAUUUUGGUUAUACCUCUCAAAAGAACUAGGGCUAGUUUUGAGUGAGAGUUUUAUACCACAACAAAUCUGUAAACACUUGUGAGGAUUAGACUAGUUUUUGGGUAGAAUUAGGUUUAGGAGAACUUAUUAGCUUGUAAACAAGAUCAUAAGAUAAACUUGUUUUUGCAAGAGUUAAAACACAGAGAUUUGAAAGUAGGUUUAGUUUGAAAAACUCUUUUAAAACUAAUCAAUCAGUAAGCUGAACAGUGUAAGAAGUUAAAGCGAAAAGCAUAAAUGAUCAAGCCAGAUUUUUAUAGUGGUUCGGCAACCCUGCCUACAUCCACUCCUUAAGGAUACCCAUCCUUAUGAUUUUCACUCUUUAAUUUCUAUUACGGGCUAGAGAAAAAAUCUUAAGAAUACGACCCUAGUUCUACCCAGAAGCUAGUUUGUAACUUACAAGCUGAUUUAUUUAGCUUCAGCAAACUAUUUCCCUUUGAGAAAGUACCUAAUUCUACCCAAAAACUAGUCUAAUCCUCACAAGUGUUUACAGAUUUGUUGUGGUAUGAAACUCUCACUCAAAACUAGCCCUAGUUCUUUUGAGAGGUAUAACCAAAAUAUUAAACACAAAGAUGGUGGUUGAGAUGAUUUCAUUCUGAGAUUCCACACACUUGAAAAUGAAAGAGGAGUAGGGCUAGUUUUGAGUGAAAGUUUCAUACUACAACAAAUCUGUAAACACUUGUGAGGAUUAGACUAGUUUUUGGGUAGAAUUAGGUUUACUUUCUCAAAGAGAAAUAGUUUGCUGAAGCUAAAUAAAUCACCUUGUAAGUUACAAACUAGCUUCUGGGUAGAAGUAGGGUUGUAUUCUUAAGACUUUUUCUCUAGCCCGUAAUAGAAAUUGAAGAGUGGAAAUCAUAA